GGAUGCGAUUGUACCAACACUAAUGCAUCGAAUCCCGUCAAAACUUUGCACUUAGGCAUGCUUGGCUGAGACUAGUACUAGAAUGGGAGGCCUACAAGGAAGUCCUAGUAUUGCACUCC
rnacentral:rRNA from 1 species